ensembl:lncRNA
GUUGGUUUUAUUUCUAACAUUAUUCUAUCAACAGAGACAUUUACAUCGACCGUCUGGCGUUAUAGUUAAUUUGCCUCGGGCGUGCUGUGGAGUGGGUAAGGCUGUUUUAUUAGCAGUCUAGUAUUGCCUGUUGCCGUGCGCUAGCCUAGCACGAGCAAACUCUGCAACUAGAAGGACUGAAUGAAAUGUGUUAAACUGACUCGAUAAAGAACACCAAGGCUUACUUGGGAAUCAGGCCCUAUGUCCAAACUUCCGAGCUACCCCUUUAAGGGGAUGGUUGGGAUGUUUAGUAUUAUGUUCUGUCCUGGGUGAAACAAUCAUUUAAAACGUGUAAUCCACAACAAAAACUUCUUGGCAAUGUUUUGCGUAGCCUUCUGCCUUAAACUUGGCUAAUCUGUCCUUUACCCUCUAACAUGGCCAAUCUGACGGCUACACUUGGAGCGCCUAGCUACGACCCAACGGAGAACGAGGACCGCGAGAACAUCCCUCCUCCUGCCGACUCCGCCCCCAGGCCGUCGAGGGAGCCCAAUCAGAACGUUCCUGAUGAGCGUGUAGUCCCGCUUUACAGAGAAGUCGUGGACAAAUGGCACAACACCAUGAAGAACCUUGGCCAGAGUCCUCUCAGUUCGCCAGACAUAGGGGACGAGGCGCUCCCUGAGCUCAGCAUGCUGGACACCACGGCGGAGACCUCUCACCUGUCUCUCGCCAAAACGAGGAGUCCUGCUGCUGCUUCCCUCUCGUCCACGCCCAGAUACUCCAGAGAGAUGGACAAAUGGCACAACACCAUGGCGAACCACGGCCAGAGUCCUCUCGGGUCGCCAGACAUAGGGGACGAGAUGCUCCCUGAGCUCAGCAUGCUGGACACCACGGCGGAGACCUCCCACUUGUCUCUCGCCAAAACGAGGAGUCCUGCUGCUGCUUCCCACUCGUCCACGCCCAGAUACUCCAGAGAGAUGGAAUCCGGCCUUACGCCCGGUUUCAAAAGCUUUAACCUGCCGGGCAACAACUCCAGGAAGGGCCUGACACCCGGCCCGGCCAGGCAUGGGCUGACGGCUAUUCACAACAUGCCGCACCUUAACCAGGAGUUGUUCACCACAGAGUAUCACAAACUGAGGGAGAGCCUGGGUCGGCUUCCCGCCGGACCGGACAGCUUGGCUCCGGCCGGGUGGCCUUGCUUCUGGCUGCAGGACGAGACCCUCCCAGAGGUCAGCUUGAUGGACUCCACCAUGGAGUGUUCUAACCUCUCCACCAAUGGGGCCGCUCCCUCCUUCGUGCCCCCGGUUCCUGAACGGCACCUUGCUGUGACGCCUAAAGUGGAGGAGGAGCCCAGCCCAGGCUCCAUGUUGAGUCUGGUCACGGAUAAGAGUUUAGUUCUCACUCCUCGCCUCCUAGCCUCCACAGGGCAGCAGAGCCUCGGAGAAAGUCGCUUAAUGGACCACAGCAGUCUCCACACACUGGAGAUGACGAAAGCUGAGGUUGUCCAGAACUCAGUGGAAAGCUCUUCCUGUCCUGAAUCCGAUGUCACCCGCGAAUCCAUCCUUCCCCAUGGGGUAGUGGUUCUGGGAGCUGAGGUUGUCCAGAGCUCACUGGAAACAUCCUCCAUCCCCGAAUCUGAUGUAACCUGUGAAUCCAUCCUUCCCCAUGGGGAAAUGGCUCUGGGUUCUCCAUCGCUGUGCUCCGCUUCUGCUUCCCAAUUCCCUGACAGGACAACUCUGGUCCUAGCAUUGGACCACCCGAGGCAGCCCGAGCUCAACACCACCCAGGUCCUCAACACCACCCAGGUCCUCAACACCACCCAGGUCCUCAACACCACCCAGGUCCUCAACACCACCCAGGUGCUCAGCGAGAAUGCGGUGGAGGUGGCAAGCAAUGACAGCAAUGGGUCCGCCCCGCGCUCUGGGAACGACACCUACUUCAGUCCACCUAGUGACUCCUCGAUGAACAGCAAUGUCACUAUGGAGGCCAUCGACUCCUCAGGGGUCAAGUGCCACCUAAGUUUGCCGCUCAACAAGCAGCUGUCGGACCCGUUUCCAUUAGACCCAGUGCAGUGGUCUCACUGGGCGAUGCCUGCUCAGGUGUCAAACUCGAGGACACCUUUAAGAGCAUCUCUUCUCCAACCCUAGGUCCCCAAGGAUGUAGUCAAGACAACCAGAGCGUCGGCCAAGACAACCAGAGCGUCGGCCAAGACAACCAGAGCGUCGGCCAAGACAACCAGAGCGUCGGCCAAGACAACCAGAGCGUCGGCCAAGACAACCAGAGCGUCGGCCAAGACAACCAGAGCGUCGGCCAAGACAACCAGAGUGGUAGGCAAGACAACCAGAGCGUCUACCAAGACAACCUGAGCGGAAGUCACUUUGAAGCCCAACCCAGAGCGUUAUCAACUGCCCCUCACAAUGGGUCCAAUAAUAACCUGGUUGUGGCGCUGGACCUGCGGUCCGAGGUCAACACCACCCAUGGGUCCAGCGGGUCAACGGCCGACAGGGCGAGCAGCACCAUGACCUUCUCCUCACAGGACGCCUCCAGACCUCUGUCCCCAGCACCCAGCGCCACAAAGAGUGACGAGAAUUCACUGAGAUGCCACACGCUGGCAUGCACACCUGUUUAUAAAUGCAGUGCCGACCUCAACUUUGAUGACACAUUCGAGAGAGCUUCUCCUCCCAAGGCAAGUGCCCUGAACUGUCAAGCCAAUCAGACAGCUGGAUGUUUGGUCACCUCCACGCCCAUGUCGGACUGGAAAGUCUAUGUGCCCACGAGCCAGACCUCACAGGUGCAGAAGAGGCGGUACUCUGACGGUCCAUCUAAGCCCCUCCCACAGACAAGCAGCCCUGCCGCCAGUGCGGACCAUGUGGCCGCCAGUGCGGACCAUGUGGCCGCCAGUGCGGACCAUGUGGCCGCCAGUGCGGACCAUGUGGCCGCCCCGGAUGUUCGCUCGCUCCUGCCAAACCUGGGUCCUGCCCGAGCCAUACCCCGCAGUCUCCGGUACAAUUCCGCCCCUGGUGGCACGGGGCGGCGCCUCAGCCCCCCCCCUACAGGGAGGAGAGUGUCAGCCAUGGCUCCGCCCCUUAAACAGAGCAAACCAAAGAACAGCAUACCAGACACCACCAGCACAACCAGUAUACCCAGCACCACUGAUAUAUCGAACACCACCAGCCUCUGCCGUGCACCACCAGGCCUCAAACCGCCAAGGAGAGUCCUCCAUAAACCGGCUGCAACGGGCAUCCCAGCGACCAAUCGGAGGACUCUACCAGGUCUCAGACCGCCUACUGCACGACUUGCCACUGCAGCCUUGUCCAAUGAUAAGCCUGGUCCAUCCUCAGCAGACAGUCGCCGUGAGUCGCUGAGCCAGGCCAAGAGGAGCUUGCUGCCCGGGAGUGAAGCUCAGGGGCUGGCCAAGAGACGGAGGACAGGUGUUCCAGGACCUUCUACCACCAUGGAGGCCUCCGUUCUGUCUCUGGAGCCCACCAGGGGGGCCUGUGGCCUGAGGGCUCCUCCCCCAAGAACCUGCAAGACCCCAGCACUGGCUGGGUGUUCAAACUGUGCCCUGCUGAACAAGGAGCUGGAGAAGAAUCGUGCGGUGAUAAGAGGACUGCAGAAAGUACUGGAUGGCUUCGUCACCCCAGCAUCAUAACCAGGACCCAUUGGCAGAGACGACAGCGGCACAACAUUGAAAAUAUGUAAAUUAAUACAAAUAAAUAUGUGAAGGAAAU